AAUGAAUUAGUGUUGACUGGAUGGGCUCACUCAGACAAAGGGAAAUAAAAGACAACUUUAAUCAAGACCAAGCUGCAUCUCCCAGCCAGGCAGCCAUCGUCAGCGCCUAAGAAUGUCUGUGCUGGGACGCUGGGGUCCAGUUUGCCUCAUUAGACAGGAUGCUGCACCUGCAUUGGACAGGAAUGUGGUCCAAAUUUGGAGGCCUAAGAGGAGAAAACCUAGGCCAACCUCUGUUGCUUCCAGAAGAUUCCAGCCUUGCAAAGUGAAGCAAAGUGAAACAUGUCUCUCAUUUGGGGUCAGAAAACCACUGGACCCAAGUUUAUGAACACAGGUACUUUGCAGUAAGCCAGUGGCUGUCAACAAAUAUAUGGCUGUUCUCAGAGUUGAACUGUAUUUGGAGCGACUGGCCUUUUAAGUCUUUAGCAUCACCAGAGACUGGCGGAUGGGACCUUGCCUUUAAUCAACACCAAGUAAAGAAACCUUCCAGAGACAUGGUUUGCUCUGUUGUCCCAACCAGAGUGCAGUGGCACCAUCAUAGCUUAUCCAACUCCUGGGCUCAAGCAUCCUCCUUCUUCAGCCUCUCAAAGUGCUGGGAUUACAGAUGUAUUGCCUGGUAUACACAAAGGAGUUGCCUACAGAAAAUGUCCUGCAGAAUGUUCCUGAAAUUUGAUCUCCAUGUACUUACUGUUCUGAGAGGCCAGCCUGCAGAGAACGAACAUGAGGAGACAAGGUCUUAUUCUGUCACCCAGGCUAGAAUGCAAUGGCAUAAUCACAGCUCACUUCAGCCUCCAUCCUCCAGGGCUUAAGCGAUCCUCCCACCUCAGCCUCCUGAGUAGCUAGGACUACAGGUAUGCACCACUACACCCAGUUAAGUUUUGAUUUUUUUAUUUUUGCAGAGAUGGAGUGGGUGGUGGUCUCACUCUGUUGCCCAGGCUGGUCUUGAACCCCUAGACUCAAAUGAUCCUUCUGCCCCAGCCUCCUAAAGUAUUGGUAUUACAGGCAUGAGCCACUGAACCAGGCCUAUUAUUAUUAUUAUUAUCAUUUGAGACUGGGUCUUACUCUGUCACUGAG
rnacentral:lncRNA from 13 species